GAUGAACGCUGGCGGCGUGCCUAAUACAUGCAAGUCGAGCGAACGGACGAGAAGCUUGCUUCUCUGAUGUUAGCGGCGGACGGGUGAGUAACACGUGGAUAACCUACCUAUAAGACUGGGAUAACUUCGGGAAACCGGAGCUAAUACCGGAUAAUAUUUUGAACCGCAUGGUUCAAAAGUGAAAGACGGUCUUGCUGUCACUUAUAGAUGGAUCCGCGCUGCAUUAGCUAGUUGGUAAGGUAACGGCUUACCAAGGCAACGAUGCAUAGCCGACCUGAGAGGGUGACCGGCCACACUGGAACUGAGACACGGUCCAGACUCCUACGGGAGGCAGCAGUAGGGAAUCUUCCACAAUGGGCGAAAGCCUGACGGAGCAACGCCGCGUGAGUGAUGAAGGUCUUCGGAUCGUAAAACUCUGUUAUUAGGGAAGAACAUAUGUGUAAGUAACUGUGCACAUCUUGACGGUACCUAAUCAGAAAGCCACGGCUAACUACGUG
rnacentral:rRNA from 1 species